AACGAUAGAGGUGCACCUUUCAUCAGUAGCACAGGCUUAGGCUGCCAAAGCCGUUCGAAGCCUGUGUCAAAGGGAACGGUGCCGAAGGGGGUAUCUUCGGCGGAUACUGCCCUGGGGACGCUCUGAACAAGAACGCCACUGUCACCCGCAGCGUCGGGUGAAGCGCUAUCUGU
rnacentral:ncRNA from 1 species